rnacentral:misc_RNA from 1 species
AAGUCGUAACAAGGUUUCCGUAGGUGAACCUGCGGAAGGAUCAUUAAUGAUUUUUUAAUAUUUGUGAACGUACUACGAACAAACAAAAAAUAUUAUAGUCAAAAAAAAUUAAAUCAAAACUUUUAACAAUGGAUCUCUUGGUUCUC